rnacentral:rRNA from 1 species
UACGUAGGGUGCAAGCGUUUAAUCGGAAUUACUGGGCGUAAAGCGUGCGCAGGCGGUUUUGUAAGUCUGUCGUGAAAUCCCCGGGCUCAACCUGGGAAUUGCGAUGGAGACUGCAAGGCUAGAAUCUGGCAGAGGGGGGUAGAAUUCCACGUGUAGCAGUGAAAUGCGUAGAGAUGUGGAGGAACACCGAUGGCGAAGGCAGCCCCCUGGGUCAAGAUUGACGCUCAUGCACGAAAGCGUGGGGAGCAAACGGG